rnacentral:rRNA from 1 species
UNUGGUCUGUCACUGACGCUGAGGCUCGAAAGCGUGGGUAGCGAACAGGAUUAGAUACCCUGGUAGUCCACGCCGUAAACGAUGAGUGCUAGGUGUUAGGCCCUUUCCGGGGCUUAGCGCCGGAGCUAACGCAAUAAGCACUCCGCCUGGGGAGUACGACCGCAAGGUUGAAACUCAAAGGAAUUGACGGGGGCCCGCACAAGCGGUGGAGCAUGUGGUUUAAUUCGAAGCAACGCGAAGAACCUUACCAGGUCUUGACAUCCCGAUGCUAUUCUUAGAGAUAGGAAGUUACUUCGGUACAUCGGAGACAGGUGGUGCAUGGUUGUCGUCAGCUCGUGUCGUGAGAUGUUGGGUUNNNNNNNNCAACGAGCGCAACCCUUAUUGUUAGUUGCCAUCAUUAAGUUGGGCACUCUAGCGAGACUGCCGGUAAUAAACCGGAGGAAGGUGGGGAUGACGUCAAAUCAUCAUGCCCCUUAUGACCUGGGCUACACACGUGCUACAAUGGUCGGUACAACGAGUUGCGAGCCGGUGACGGCAAGCUAAUCUCUGAAAGCCGAUCUCAGUUCGGAUUGGAGGCUGCAACUCGCCUCCAUGAAGUCGGAAUCGCUAGUAAUCGCGGAUCAGCACGCCGCGGUGAAUACGUUCCCGGGCCU